GAUGAACGCUGGCGGCGUGCCUAAUACAUGCAAGUCGAGCGAACAGACGAGGAGCUUGCUCCUCUGACGUUAGCGGCGGACGGGUGAGUAACACGUGGAUAACCUACCUAUAAGACUGGGAUAACUUCGGGAAACCGGAGCUAAUACCGGAUAAUAUAUUGAACCGCAUGGUUCAAUAGUGAAAGACGGUUUUGCUGUCACUUAUAGAUGGAUCCGCGCCGCAUUAGCUAGUUGGUAAGGUAACGGCUUACCAAGGCAACGAUGCGUAGCCGACCUGAGAGGGUGAUCGGCCACCCUGAAACUGGGACACGGUCCAGACUCCUACGGAAGGCAGCAGUAGGGAAUCUUCCGCAAUGGGCGAAAGCUUGACGGAGCAACGCCGCGUGAGUGAUGAAGGUCUUCGGAUCGUAAAACUCUGUUAUUAGGGAAGAACAAAUGUGUAAGUAACUAUGCACGUCUUGACGGUACCAAACCAGAAAGCCACGGCUAACUACGU
rnacentral:rRNA from 1 species